rnacentral:rRNA from 1 species
GACGAACGCUGGCGGCGUGCUUAACACAUGCAAGUCGAACGGAAAGGCCCCUUUGGGGGUACUCGAGUGGCGAACGGGUGAGUAACACGUGAGUAACCUGCCCUUGACUUCGGGAUAACUUCAGGAAACUGGGGCUAAUACCAGAUAGGAAUCCUUGCUGCAUGGUGGGGGUUGGAAAGCUUCGGCGGUUUUGGAUGGACUCGCGGCUUAUCAGCUUGUUGGUGGGGUAGUGGCUUACCAAGGCUUUGACGGGUAGCCGGCCUGAGAGGGCGACCGGCCACAUUGGGACUGAGAUACGACCCAGACUCCUACCGGAGGCAGCAGUGCUGAAUAUUUCACAAUGGGCGGAAGCCUGAUGCAGCAACGCCGCGUGCGGGAUGACGGCCUUCGGGUUGUAAACCGCUUUCAGCAGGGGCGAAGCUUGUGGUGAAGGUACCUGCAGAAGAAGCACAGGCUAACUACGU